UACGGGGGGGGCAAGCGUUGUUCGGAAUUACUGGGCGUAAAGGGCUCGUAGGCGGCCAACUAAGUCAGACGUGAAAUCCCUCGGCUUAACCGGGGAACUGCGUCUGAUACUGGUUGGCUUGAAUCCGGGAGAGGGAUGUGGAAUUCCAGGUGUAGCGGUGAAAUGCGUAGAUAUCUGGAGGAACACCGGUGGCGAAGGCGGCAUCCUGGACCGGUAUUGACGCUGAGGAGCGAAAGCCAGGGGAGCAAACGUG
rnacentral:rRNA from 1 species